rnacentral:rRNA from 1 species
UACGGGGGGAGCAAGCGUUGUUCGGAUUUACUGGGCGUAAAGGGCGCGUAGGCGGCGUAACAAGUCACUUGUGAAAUCUCCGGGCUUAACUCGGAGCGGCCAAGUGAUACUGUUGUGCUAGAGUGCGGAAGGGGCUACUGGAAUUCUCGGUGUAGCGGUGAAAUGCGUAGAUAUCGAGAGGAACACCUGCGGCGAAGGCGGGUUGCUGGGCUGAUACUGACGCUGAGGCGCGAAAGCCAGGGGAGCAAACGGG